GGUCCGGUUAGCUCAGUGGGUUGAGCGUGGUGCUGACAACGGCAACAAAGAGGUCGCGGGUUCGAUUCCCGCUCGGUCCC
rnacentral:tRNA from 1 species